GACUCACGCAUCGAUAUCCAGCGCGACGUCGAAGUUGGGCGCGGAAUGCGUCAGCGCACCCGCCGAGACGUAAUCGACGCCGGUCUUCGCGAUCUCACCGAUCGACGCCAGCGUGACGCCGCCGGACACUUCCAGCACCAUCCUGCAGCGUUGGAAUGUCCAUGUUGUCGAGCAUCACCACGUCGGCGAGGCCGGUCGCCAGCACCUCGCGCAAUUGGUCGAGCGUAUCGACCUCG
rnacentral:misc_RNA from 1 species